GCCAGGGCUGUUCCUGUGUUGAAGAAGCACUCUAAGUUAUACCCUGAGCCUCUGACUUGUAAUGCUACUACUCAUAGUAUUCUUAAGUCUAUUUGGGAAAGAAGAUAAAUUGACAACAUCCUCUGAAGUGUUAUGAAGUCAUGUUCCUCUGUUAACAAUUUGAAGAGGAAUGAAGAGAUGAUUAGAAGAACAAAAACCUUGAGAAUAAAAAGUUCCUUCAACCUUUUCCAAAAUCUCAGUUGGGAACUAUUUUCUCCUGGGGUUCCAUAAUGAACUGAUGUCUGGAAAAAAAGAAAUUACAAUCUAAAAAUGCUAUAUCAAAUUCCGUCAAACAUAAAGCACAAAUGCCAGAGACCUGAAUAUUGCAUGGAGUUGUAAUGAUUUAGACAGCCUUUUGGAUGAUGCCCUAUGACAAGUAAUCAGUUAGGCUUGUUCUAACAGUAACAACUUGCAGCUCCUGGAAGGCACACCCAGUCUGCUCAUGACUGCUUUCCUCCAUCUUCCCAGCUGGCCGCACUGAAUUCUGGGACUUUCUUCUAUAGCCACAUUUUCUCUUUUGGCAGCUGAUUCUACUUUUAUAGGGCAUGUGGGUACCUGGAUACUUUCCAUAUUUUAAGGUCAGCUGACUGGCAACCUUAAUUCCAUCUGCGACCUUUUCAUUUGUCAACCAAAAUAGACAACAGAUUUGGGGAUUUUGAUGUUGUCUUUAAGGAGUCAUUUAUUCUGCCUCCUAGAAACUUGGGGUGAUGGGGUAUAGAAGAUUUAUUUAUUAACAGCCAUUCCAGCUGAUUCUAAUGAAAACAGCCAGACCAGGACAGCAAGAAAGCCUCCUCUAGAGUUUUACUCAUAGCAGCUCUAUGCAUUCACUUUUGGAUCCAAGCACAGAAGACUUGGUUUCCACACCACAUUUGAUGUAAGGAGACAAUUGAAAUCAGACUUCGGUAAGAUGACAGAAAGAGCUGUUGACACAGAAGUGUUGGCCGUGGCAGAGUUCAUCGGUUUCAGAGGGGCUUCAUUUUGGCUUGUUUUACAUGAUAGUUUGAAAAUCAAAUUUAAGAAUCAUUUAAAAGCCUGAAUGUAGAAUAUCAAGAAAGACAAUGUAGAAUGUAAUUCAUGAAAUUAGAGCUGGAGAGAUGGUUUGUAAAAUCAUUUGUCAUGAAAGCCCAUGAAACCCUGAGGACUUGAAUCCAAUCAUCAGAACCCACCAUGAACAAAGAGAACAGACUCCUGAAAGUUGUCUUCUCAUCUACACACAUGCCAAGGCAUGCAUGUGCACAUGUGUGUAU